rnacentral:rRNA from 1 species
GAGUUUGAUCCUGGCUCAGAGCGAACGCUGGCGGCAGGCUUAACACAUGCAAGUCGAGCGCCCCGCAAGGGGGGCGGCAGACGGGAGAGUAACACGUGGGAACGUACCCUUCAGUUCGGAACAACCCAGGGAAACUUGGGCUAAUACCGAAUACGUCCGUAAGGAGAAAGAUUUAUCGCUGAAGGAUCGGCCCGCGUCUGAUUAGCUAGUUGGUGGGGUAACGGCCCACCAAGGCUACGAUCAGUAGCUGGUCUGAGAGGAUGAUCAGCCUCACUGGGACUGAGACACGGCCCAGACUCCUACGGGAGGCAGCAGUGGGGAAUAUUGGACAAUGGGCGCAAGCCUGAUCCAGCCAUGCCGCGUGGGUGAUGAAGGCCCUAGGGUUGUAAAGCCCUUUCGGCGGGGAAGAUAAUGACGGUACCCGCAGAAGAAGCCCCGGCUAACUUCGUGCCAGCAGCCGCGGUAAUACGAAGGGGGCUAGCGUUGCUCGGAAUCACUGGGCGUAAAGCGCACGUAGGCGGGUUGUUAAGUCGGGGGUGAAAUCCUGGAGCUCAACUCCAGAACUGCCCUCGAUACUGGCGAUCUUGAGUCCGGGAGAGGUGAGUGGAACUGCGAGUGUAGAGGUGAAAUUCGUAGAUAUUCGCAAGAACACCAGUGGCGAAGGCGGCUCACUGGCCCGGUACUGACGCUGAUGUGCGAAAGCGUGGGGAGCAAACA